rnacentral:RNase_P_RNA from 1 species
CUAGUUGGUUGAAUGGUAGCUCUAAUUUUUUAGAGAGGAAAGUCUGGGCUCCAUAGGAAACAAGUACCAGGUAACGCCUGGCAGGAGUGAUCCUAGGGAUAGUGCCACAGAAAAUAAACCGCCUAAUCAAGGCAAGGGUGAAACGGUGAGGUAAGAGCUCACCGCCUUUUUAGUAAUAAAAAGGGCAUGGAAAACCCUACUUGGAGCAAGACCAAAUAGGGAUAGCGCGAUCAUUGAUCAAAUUUCCUAGAUUAGCUAUCCGGGUUGGUUGCUAGAGCUAAUCAGAAAUGAUUAGCCAAGAUAAAUUACCAUUUUAAAUGACAGAACCCAGCUUACAGACCAACUAGCAAU